UCCCUGGUGGUCUAAUGGUUAGGAUUUAGUGAUGUCAUCUCUGUGGCCCAGGUUCAAUCCCUGGUCUGGGAA
rfam:Sus scrofa chromosome 6.